rnacentral:rRNA from 1 species
UACGUAGGGGGCUAGCGUUGUCCGGAAUCAUUGGGCGUAAAGGGCGCGUAGGCGGCUUGGCAAGUGGAAGGUGAAAUCCCUCGGCUUAACCGAGGAACUGCCCUCCAAACUGCUUUGCUUGAGGCCGGGAGAGGUGAGUGGAAUUCCCAGUGUAGCGGUGAAAUGCGUAGAUAUUGGGAGGAACACCAGUGGCGAAGGCGGCUCACUGGACCGGUUCUGACGCUGAGGCGCGAAAGCGUGGGGAGCAAACGGG